rnacentral:lncRNA from 1 species
UGAUCAGCAGUGGCAGCAGGGAGCCCGCUGUACUCCCACUUUUUUUUUCCUCUCUCCCCCCCACCCUUUUCUCUCUCCUUUUUAUUUUAAUUUUUUUCUUUUUUCUUUUUUUUUCUUUUUUUUCCCUACUAUUUUCCUGGUCGGAAAUUAGCAAGUGAAAAUUAGUCACCAGCACCGCACGGGCGCCCGCACACACAACCCGUGACCCCAGGAAGGAGCCGCAGUAGGAGAUAAGAGCGAGGCGGCAGGCGGUGGGCGGCGGGACGGGCCGGGGCCGAUGAGAGGGCAGCGGCAGAUGGGGCGAGGCUCCAUGGAUCAGCGAAGGUCACAGGAUUUUGAGCUUCUCCUUCACUGAAAUACCUUGUCACAAAGACAGGAUGGCCACCCUCUUUUUUCACUCUGCCUCCAGGCCCUCCUUGUGGCCUGUAACUGUGGUCUCUGGAGCAAUGUCUGAGCUGGAUGUGGAGAUUUACAUGGAAGUGGGAUCUCACUUUGAGGCUAUGAUUCACCUUCCUUUUCUUCUGAGAUGUGGAAGAACCUUUGUGCUCAUUCUGCCCAACUUUCAUGCUGCCCACUUCACUGAUGAAGCUAAGGGAGGAAGGAACCUGCCAUGAGAAGUUUCUUCAUGUUUAUUUUCUCUUUGUUUGUAGCUGGCCUUGAAUGAUAGGAGGUGAAUAGCUUCUCCUGGAUCAGAGAGGUCACUGCAGAACACCGUGAAUGUUCUCCAUUGGCAAAAGGGAAGAGAUUUUCUCUAAAGCUGCCUACAUUACUCCUACUUUGUAGAAAAAGAGGGUUUUACUCUAUGAUGCUGCAUUACCACCCCUUCAAUAAAAUUUGAAAAUCUGCAAACUUCCUAAUCCUU